AUUUAUAUAGUUUAAAAUAAAACAAUUCAUUUUCAAUGAAUAAAAAAGUCAAUAACUUUAUAAAUU
rnacentral:tRNA from 1 species